rnacentral:lncRNA from 1 species
GGGGCACAAGUUGUGUUUCCAUCGCCUAGAUUUCCCCAGCUCAUGGUGGAGAUGGACACAUCCAAAACUCUGAUCUGAGAUGAGUCUCCUUGGUAUCUGAAGGAUGUCCUUCCUCUCUGGGUCUAGAACUCUGGAGUGACAGCUCUUUUCUUCCAGCACCGUAAACACGUUGCUCCCUUGUCUUCUGGAGCCCAUCAUUUCUGCUGAAAAAUAAUCUUAUUGUCCCCUUGAAGGAUGGUCCCUGAAACGUAAGGGACCCGACAGCCACCACGGCGAGGAAGGCGCAGAAGGGGCAGCACGGAGCCGUGAGCCACAGAGAUGCUGCAGCCUGGACCAGCCAUCAUCAGACAGGCGUGUGCCGUCAGCGCUCAACGUGUGAGAAAGCACAGAGCCAGGCCCUUCCCAAGACCCCACUAUGAACCCGAUUGCUUCGGCCUGGCUGCCUUCCUCCAAAGGGGUGCAGGCGGGGCCCACGGGACCCCAGUUCUCUAGUCUCGCCUGACUCUAGGCAGAACUCUAGUGGCUCUGAUCUCUGGGCAGAACUGACUCAAGAGCCACUGAAGAGACCUUCGCCUGGGGUCCUAGACUGGGCUGCAAGGAGUCUUUGAAUCUCUUGAGAUUGUGCACUAAGUAUUUACCUGCACGCAUUUUUCCAGGAAGAGGGCCUGCGGCUUGCAUCAUAUCCCCACCGUGGUCUGUGACCAAGAAAGUAGUCAGCAUCUUUAGGCUAGAGGAGGCGGGAGCCCCGGAUUCCAAUCGCAGUUCUCCCUGGCUGUGUGAGCUUGAUUUGUCCUUUCUCUCUCUGAGCCCUGAUUCUGCCUCUUUUCUGCAAGGACCUUGAUCGCUGGGGGCGGCAGGGCUCUGUCUGCUGAACCCCAGAUCCCUCUGCACUUUCCCUGCUCUGCUCAGUAGCGUGGGGCACUGGCCCAGCAAAGUUCAUUUCCAGGUUCUUGUUGUGUUCUGACCCUGAGAGGCUCUGGCCGGGACUGGGAGGGUGGGAGGGUGGGAGGCCCAGGUAUCUGCCCACAUCUCUGCUUCAGGCACCAGCUCUGGCAGGGGCGGCCUCUGUAGUUCACUUCCUACAGGUGGCCCCUUCUUCCACGGGGCCCCCAAGGGGUGCGAAUCUCACCCUCCAUACACCUCUUUUUGGACCCUCUGUGUAUUAAACUCC